AAUCUCAUCCUGGCCAUACAUCUUCCUCCGUGCAACUUCCCACAGAUCUCGCACCCAAAUUCCCCCCUUCAUCUAGCCCCAUCUUGGUUCUUGGGGUGUUUGUCCGUAUGUCGGGGAGGGUGCCUCUCAACUUGUCGAGGGUCAGAUCGGUCGGUGUAGUGGGGUUUAUGCACUGGUGGCCGAUGGAUUGAGUCUCUCGAGUCAAAGGGACGUUUGUGUCCAAUAGUAACUGACUUCUCUAGCCUUACCUCACUUUGGGCUUCUCUAGGGCCUUGGCAAUUUUCAAAACUUCUUCAUAUGUGUCUAUGGAGUCCCACUGUGCAGCAGAUCUUCGAGUCCAGACCCAAAACAUAUUUCUCGGUCAUGUUUUGUUCAGUGUCGACCAAUGAUAGCGCAAAUCUUUUUAAUCUCAUAAACUCUCUGUCAUAUCUAUCCAACGAAUGUCCACCCCAGGUCAAAUGGGUGAAUUCCUGCUGCUAUUUCUUGAGU